rnacentral:rRNA from 1 species
AUUGAACGCUGGCGGCAGGCCUAACACGUGCAAGUCGAACGGUAGGGGGGCAACCCCUGAGAGUGGCGAACGGGUGAGUAAUGCAUCGGAACGUGCCCAGUUGUGGGGGAUAACGUAGCGAAAGCUACGCUAAUACCGCAUACGACCUGAGGGUGAAAGGGGGGGAUCGCAAAACCUCUCGCAAUUGGAGCGGCCGAUGUCAGAUUAGCUAGUUGGUGGGGUAAAAGCCUACCAAGGCGACGAUCUGUAGCUGGUCUGAGAGGACGACCAGCCACACGGGGACUGAGACACGGCCCAGACUCCUACGGGAGGCAGCAGUGGGGAAUUUUGGACAAUGGACGCAAGUCUGAUCCAGCCAUGCCGCGUGCAGGGAGAAGGCCUUCGGGUUGUAAACUGCUUUUGUCAGGGAAGAAAUCCCUUGGGAUAAUACCUCGGGGGGAUGACGGUACCUGAAGAAUAAGCACCGGCUAACUACGUGCCAGCCGCCGCCGUAAAAC